rnacentral:rRNA from 1 species
GAUGAACGCUGGCGGCGUGCCUAACACAUGCAAGUCGAGCGAUUCUCUUCGGAGAAGAGCGGCGGACGGGUGAGUAACGCGUGGGUAACCUACCCUGUACACACGGAUAACAUACCGAAAGGUAUGCUAAUACGGGAUAAAAUAAGAGAGUCGCAUGGCUUUUUUAUCAAAGCUCCGGCGGUACAGGAUGGACCCGCGUCUGAUUAGUUAGUUGGUGAGGUAAUGGCUCACCAAGGCGACGAUCAGUAGCCGACCUGAGAGGGUGAUCGGCCACAUUGGAACUGAGACACGGUCCAAACUCCUACGGGAGGCAGCAGUGGGGAAUAUUGCACAAUGGGCGAAAGCCUGAUGCAGCAACGCCGCGUGAGCGAUGAAGGCCUUCGGGUCGUAAAGCUCUGUCCUCAAGGAAGAUAAUGACGGUACUUGAGGAGGAAGCCCCGGCUAACUACGUGCCAGCCGCCGCAGUAACAC